rnacentral:rRNA from 1 species
GUAGGGGGGCUAGCGUUGUCCGGAAUCACUGGGCGUAAAGGGUUCGCAGGCGGAAAUGCAAGUCAGAUGUAAAAGGCAGUAGCUUAACUACUGUAAGCAUUUGAAACUGCAUAUCUUGAGAAGAGUAGAGGUAAGUGGAAUUUUUAGUGUAGCGGUGAAAUGCGUAGAUAUUAAAAACGAAUACCGGUGGCGAAGGCGACUUACUGGGCUCAUUCUGACGCUGAGGAACGAAAGCGUGGGUAGCAAACAGGGAUUAGAUACCCUGGUAGUCCACGCUGUAAACGAUGAGUGCUAGGUGUCGGCGAAUGUCGGUGCCGCAGUUAACACAUAAGCACUCCGCCUGGGGAUACGUGCGCAAGCAUG